rnacentral:rRNA from 1 species
UACAGAGGUCUCAAGCGUUGUUCGGAUUCAUUGGGCGUAAAGGGUGCGUAGGUGGCGGGGUAAGUCAGGGGUGAAAUCCGGCAGCUCAACUGUCGAAGUGCCUUUGAUACUGAGGAGCUCGAGGGAGGUAGGGGUGUGUGGAACUUCCGGUGGAGCGGUGAAAUGCGUUGAUAUCGGAAGGAACGCCGGUGGCGAAAGCGACGCACUGGACCUCUUCUGACGCUGAGGCGCGAAAGCCAGGGGAGCAAACGGG